GCUUUACACAUGCAAGUCGAACGCGGCCGAGGGGCAACUUUUGGCCGAGUGGCGAACGGGUGAGUAAUACAUCGGAACGUGUCCCGUUGUGGGGGAUAACCCAUCGAAAGGUGGGCUAAUACCGCAUACGCCCUGAGGGGGAAAGCGGGGGACCUGAGAGGGCCUCGCGCGAGGGGAGCGGCCGAUGUCGGAUUAGCUAGUAGGUUGGGUAAAGGCUGACCUAGGCGACGAUCCGUAGCUGGUCUGAGAGGAUGAUCAGCCACACUGGGACUGAGACACGGCCCAGACUCCUACGGGAGGCAGCAGUGGGGAAUUUUGGACAAUGGGGGCAACCCUGAUCCAGCCAUGCCGCGUGAGUGAAGAAGGCCUUCGGGUUGUAAAGCUCUUUCGGCCGGAACGAAAUCGCAUCUCCUAACACGGGGUGUGGAUGACGGUACCGGAAGAAGAAGCACCGGCUAACUACGUGCCAGCAGCCGCGGUAAUACGUAGGGUGCGAGCGUUAAUCGGAAUUACUGGGCGUAAAGCGUGCGCAGGCGGCUCUUUAAGUCAGAUGUGAAAGCCCCGGGCUUAACCUGGGAACUGCGUUUGAAACUGGAGGGCUUGAGUGUGGCAGAGGGAGGUGGAAUUCCACGUGUAGCAGUGAAAUGCGUAGAGAUGUGGAGGAACACCAAUGGCGAAGGCAGCCUCCUGGGCCAACACUGACGCUCAUGCACGAAAGCGUGGGGAGCAAAC
rnacentral:rRNA from 1 species